CCCGGCGUGUCCCCGCCGGUAUCCUAGGGAGGCGUGCUACCGUUGCGCUGAUGACGGGGUGCGAAGCCCUCCUGACAAUGUACCGAAUUGGGAGGAAGCCGCGAGGCGGAACCCCCUCCGAGAA
rnacentral:ncRNA from 1 species